AACGCACAUUGCGCCCCUUGGUAUUCCGAGGGGCAUGCCUGUUCGAGCGUCAUUACACCACUCAAGCACUGCUUGGUAUUGGGCACCCGUCCGCCGUCAAGGCGGGCGUGCCUCGAAGACCUCGGCGGGGUUUCACCAACUUCGGGCGUAGUAGAGUCAAAUCAAAACGUCUUAUAAGCUUGGGGGGACUCCAUUGCCGUAAAACCUUUUUUACAUUCUAGGUUGACCUCGGAUCAGGUAGGGAUACCCGCUGAACUUAA
rnacentral:misc_RNA from 2 species